ACGGAGGGUGCUAGCGUUGUUCGGAAUUACUGGGCGUAAAGGGCGCGUAGGCGGCCUGAUCAGUCGGGUGUGAAAGCCCGGGGCUCAACCCCGGAACGGCACCCGAGACGGUCAGGCUGGAGACCGGGAGAGGAGGGUGGAAUAGCCAGUGUAGAGGUGAAAUUCGUAGAUAUUGGCUGGAACACCGGUGGCGAAAGCGGCUCUCUGGCCCGGUUCUGACGCUGAGGCGCGAAAGCGUGGGGAGCAAACAGG
rnacentral:rRNA from 1 species